rnacentral:rRNA from 1 species
UACGUAGGGGGCAAGCGUUGUCCGGAUUUAUUGGGCGUAAAGCGCGUGUAGGCGGCCAGAUAGGUCUGCUGUGAAAACUCGAGGCUCAACCUCGAGCUGUCGGCGGAAACCAUCUGGCUAGAGUCCGGGAGAGGAGAGUGGAAUUCCUGGUGUAGCGGUGAAAUGCGCAGAUAUCAGGAAGAACACCCGUGGCGAAAGCGGCUCUCUGGAACGGUACUGACGCUGAGACGCGAAAGCGUGGGGAGCGAACAGG